GACGAACGCUGGCGGCGUGCUUAACACAUGCAAGUCGAGCGGUAAGGCCCUUUCGGGGGUACACGAGCGGCGAACGGGUGAGUAACACGUGGGUGACCUGCCCUCAGCUCUGGGAUAAGCCUGGGAAACCGGGUCUAAUACUGGAUAUGACUCCAUGACGCAUGUUGUGGGGUGGAAAGCCUUGUGCGGCUGAGGAUGGGCCCGCGGCCUAUCAGCUUGUUGGUGGGGUGACGGCCUACCAAGGCGACGACGGGUAGCCGGCCUGAGAGGGCGACCGGCCACACUGGGACUGAGACACGGCCCAGACUCCUACGGGAGGCAGCAGUGGGGAAUCUUGNGCCCCCAAUGGGCGAAAGCCUGACGCAGCGACGCCGCGUGAGGGAGUGACGGCC
rnacentral:rRNA from 1 species